CCAAGAAGUUUGAUUGUCCACAGAGAGGAAGCCAUAUAUCCCUGAACACACGUCUGUGGUCUGUCACAAACCAGGGUUGGAACUGCAGAACUCUUAGACACCGUUGUUCUGAGAGAGCGAGGAAUUGUGACUAGGGAUUGCGAAUGCAGCCUUAGGACAUAGUUACACUCAGCUGUGUGGUGGUCCCAGUAUUUCAUUCUGUGGCACCUUGACUGGACAUAGUGGCAUUACAUGUAGGAGGCAAAUUCUCUCCAACAUGAGGUAAAGAAAGCAGGAAACUGUGACUAAAUGAAGAUCACAGAGCCAGUUGAUCAGUGGGGAAGCUGCAUCUGAAAUCCAGGACUUCUAGAUCCUGGGUCAACUGGAGGGGUCAUGCAUUCUGGAAAAUAAUGCAGAGUGGUACAGGCUGAAGCGGAGCGGAGAGGACACUGUUUCAAGAUUCCUGCGCCAGCUCCUUCGUUGUUAUAGAAGUUGGACUAAAUAAAAGGGUAAUCACAAGCGUACAGAUAACAGGCAGGCAGGAAUGUGAAAAUCA
rnacentral:lncRNA from 1 species